rnacentral:rRNA from 1 species
UUCCGGUUGAUCCCGCCGGACCUGACUGCUAUCGGAUUGAUACUAAGCCAUGCGAGUCUUUGCAGUAAUGCAAGGCAUACGGCUCAGUAACACGUAGUCAACUUACCCUAUGGACGAGGAUAAUCUCGGGAAACUGAGCAUAAUACUCGAUAGAUCAUAAUGCCUGGAAUGGUUUAUGGUUAAAAUGAUUCGUCGCCAUAGGAUGGGACUGCGGCCUAUCAGCUUGUUGGUGAGGUAAUGGCCCACCAAGGCGAUUACAGGUACGGGCUCUGAGAGGAGAAGCCCGGAGAUGGGUACUGAGACAAGGACCCAGGCCCUAUGGGGCGCAGCAGGCGAGAAAACUUUGCAAUGUGCGAAAGCACGACAAGGUUAAUCCGAGUGAUUUCUGCUAAAGAAAUCUUUUGCAAGUCAUAAAACCACUAGUGAAUAAGGGGUGGGCAAGUUCUGGUGUCAGCCGCCGCGGUAAAACCAGCACCUCAAGUGGUCAGGAGGAUUAUUGGGCCUAAAGCAUCCGUAGCCGGCUCUGUAAGUUUUCGGUUAAAUCCAUGUGCUCAACACAUGGGCUGCCGAAAAUACUGCAUAGCUAGGGAGUGGGAGAGGUAGACGGUACUCGGUAGGAAGGGGUAAAAUCCUUUGAUCUAUCGAUGACCACCUGUGGCGAAGGCGGUCUACCAGAACACGUUCGACGGUGAGGGAUGAAAGCUGGGGGAGCAAACCGGAUUAGAUACCCGGGUAGUCCCAGCUGUAAACGAUGCAGACUCGAUGAUGCAUUGGCAUAUAGCCAGUGCAGUGUCGCAGGGAAGCCGUUAAGUCUGCCGCCUGGGAAGUACGUACGCAAGUAUGAAACUUAAAGGAAUUGGCGGGGGAGCACCACAAGGGGUGAAGCCUGCGGUUCAAUUGGAUUCAACGCCGG